AUUGAACGCUGGCGGCAGGCCUAACACAUGCAAGUCGAACGAGUGGCGGACGGGUGAGUAAUGUCUGGGAAACUGCCUGAUGGAGGGGGAUAACUACUGGAAACGGUAGCUAAUACCGCAUACCAUCAAAUGUGCCCAGAUGGGAUUAGCUAGUGGGUGUGGUAACGGCUCACCAAGGCGACUAUCCCUAGCUGGUCUGAGAGGAUGACCAGUCACACUGGAACUGAGACACGGUCAAGACUACUAGGGGAGGCAGCAGUGGGGAAUAUGGCACAAUGGGCGCAAGCCUGAUACAGAAAUGCCGCGUGAAUGAAGAAGGCCUUCGGGGUGGAAAGUACUUUCAGCGGAGAGGCGUUACCCGCAGAAGAAGCACCGGCGAACUCCGUGCCAGCAGCCGGGGUAAUAC
rnacentral:rRNA from 1 species